rnacentral:rRNA from 1 species
CAAUAGCGUAUAUUUAAGUUGUUGCAGUUAAAAAGCUCGUAGUUGGAUUUCGGGUGGGACCUGCCGGUCCGUCGUUGCGAUGUGCACUGGCCGGUCCCAUCUUGUUGUCGGGGACCAGCUCCUGGGCUUCACUGUCCGGGACUGGGAGCCGACGAAGUUACUUUGAGUAAAUUAGAGUGUUCAAAGCAAGCCUACGCUCUGAAUAUAUUAGCAUGGAAUAACACGAUAGGACUCUGGCUUAUCUUGUUGGUCUGUGAGACCAGAGUAAUGAUUAAGAGGGACAGUCGGGGACAUUCGUAUUUCAUUGUCAGAGGUGAAAUUCUUGGAUUUAUGAAAGACGAACUUCUGCGAAAGCAUUUGUCAAGGAUGUUUNCAUUAA